UGUGCAUCACAAGUCAUGGGUUCGAAGUACCCUAAGAGUUUUCGAUUUUUUCUUUAUUUUUUCAUAUUAUAAUUCAAUGCAUAUUGACAAAUAAUUUUAAUGAAUGAACAUAUAUUUGAUGCAAUUCAUGGCAAAUAUCAAAUUCACAUAAUUCAACAAUUAUGGAUAUAAUGCCAAAAAUUUGAUGCGAAAUAUAUUAAGCACACAAAUUAAACCCUCUUUUUGUCAAAUUGUAGCAAAGAUGUAAGUAGGGAUCGUUCUAGACCGGGGAUUAGGAGGGAUUGCUAAACGCUUGGAAACUGACUUAAACACUAAAAAAACAAAGUUAAAAACACUAAACUAGACUCAAAGAAUGCAAAACUAAAAGUUAAAACACUUAAACAAACCUAAAAACCAAAACAGCAACUAGAAGACUCAAAACUGCCUAAAAACCACUUUCUGGGCAGUUUUGAGCACUUACACUAAUCUGGACGAAAUUGGUUGAAAACUUGAAUCAAAACACUUAGAAACACAAAUCAAAACACUUUCUAACUAAUCUAAGACUUCAAAUUAAAGGGGGAUUUGUUUUGGACAGAAAUUGAAAACAAAACAGAAACUUUGAUUAACACAGAUUGUAAAAACGAUUUUGGUGAAAAAGAUGGUUAAAAGGCUAGUUAGGAGGUUCUUCUCCACACAUGUCACACUUGCAAACAAAACGAUUUUC
rnacentral:lncRNA from 1 species